rnacentral:ncRNA from 1 species
AACUAAUUUAUGACGAGAGGACCGGGAUGAACAAACCUCUGGUCUGCCAGCUGUUCUGCCAAGAGCAGCGCUGGGUAGCUAUGUUUGGUUCCGAUAAGCGCUGAAAGCAUAUAAGCGCGAAACGGG